rnacentral:rRNA from 1 species
GACGAACGCUGGCGGCGUGGAUUAGGCAUGCAAGUCGAACGGUAUCAUCCUUUCGGGGGUGAGAGAGUGGCGAACUGGUGAGUAACACGUAGGUUAUCUACCCUCAAGACGGGGACAACCCAGGGAAACUUGGGCUAAUACCGGAUGUGAGCAACUUUUAGUUGUUUGAAAGGUGGCGUAAGCUGUCGCUUGGGGAUGAGCCUGCGUCCUAUUAGUUAGUUGGUGAGGUAACGGCUCACCUAGGCAAUGAUAGGUAGGCGGCCUUAACGGGUGGUCGCCCACACUGGGAUUGAGAUACGGCCCAGACUCCUACGGGAGGCAGCAGUCGAGAAUAGUCUACAAUGGUCGGAAGACUGAUAGUGCGACGCCGCGUGAACGAUGAAUCCCUUCGGGGUGUAAAGUUCUUUUAUAUGUGAGCAGUGCUUCUUAUAUUAACAGUAUGGGGAGAGAGAUAUUAGCAUAUGAAUAAGCAACGGCUAACUCCGUGCCAGCAGCCGCGGUAAACGU